AGAGUUUGAUCAUGGCUCAGAACGUACGCUGGCGGCACGCCUAACACAUGCAAGUCGAACGAAGUAGCAAUACUUAGUGGCAGACGGGUGAGUAACAUGUAGGUAUCUGCCCUUUGGCCUGGAAUAACACGAGGAAACUUGUGCUAAUACCGGAUAAGUCUUUACGGAGAAAGCUUUAUGCACCAUUGGAUGAGCCUGCACUUGAUUAGUUUGUUGGUGGGGUAAUGGCCUACCAAGACUGUGAUCAAUAGCUGAUUUGAGAGGAUGAUCAGCCACAUUGGGACUGAGACACGGCCCAAACUCCUACGGGAGGCAGCAGUGGGGAAUCUUGCACAAUGGAGGAAACUCUGAUGCAGCGAUGCCGCGUGAGUGAAGAAGGCCCUUGGGUUGUAAAGCUCUUUCGUCGGGGAAGAAAAUGACUGUACCCGAAUAAGAAGGUCCGGCUAACUUCGUGCCAGCAGCCGCGGUAAUACGAAGGGACCUAGCGUAGUUCGGAAUUACUGGGCUUAAAGAGUUCGUAGGUGGUUGAAAAAGUUAGUGGUGAAAUCCCAGAGCUUAACUCUGGAACUGCCAUUAAAACUUUUCAGCUAGAGUAUGAUAGAGGAAAGCAGAAUUUCUAGUGUAGAGGUGAAAUUCGUAGAUAUUAGAAAGAAUACCAAUUGCGAAGGCAGCUUUCUGGAUCAUUACUGACACUGAGGAACGAAAGCAUGGGUAGCGAAGAGGAUUAGAUACCCUCGUAGUCCAUGCCGUAAACGAUGUGUGUUAGACGUUGGAAAUUUAUUUUCAGUGUCGCAGGGAAACCGAUAAACACACCGCCUGGGGAGUACGACCGCAAGGUUAAAACUCAAAUGAAUUGACGGGGACCCGCACAAGUAGUGGAGCAUGUGGUUUAAUUCGAAGAUACGCGCAGAACCUUACCAACACUUGACAUGUUCGUCGCGACUCUAAGAGAUUAGAGUUUUCGGUUCGGCCGGACGAAACACAGGUGCUGCAUGGCUGUCGUCAGCUCGUGUCGUGAGAUGUUGGGUUAAGUCCCGCAACGAGCGCAACCCUCACUUUUAGUUGCCAUCAUUAAGUUGGGCACUCUGAAAGAACUGCCAGUGAUAAGCUGGAGGAAGGUGGGGAUGACGUCAAGUCCUCAUGGCCCUUACGUGUUGGGCUACACACGUGCUACAAUGGUAUCUACAACAGGAAGCAAGACUGCGAAGUUAAGCAAAUCCCUAAAAGAUACCUCAGUUCGGAUUGCACUCUGCAACUCGAGUGCAUGAAGCUGGAAUUACUAGUAAUCGUGGAUCAGCGUGCCACGGUGAAUGCGUUCCCGGGUCUUGUACACACCGCCCGUCACACCAUGGGAGUUGGUUCUACCUUAAGGCAAGGUUUCAAACCCUUGACCACGGUAUAGUCAGCGACUGGGGGGAAGUCGUAACAAGGUA
rnacentral:rRNA from 1 species